GUCUCCGAUUCCCGAGCAUCGUUUCUAUUCUUGUUUUUCACGCCGGCCGCCGUGGCUUCUGGAGCUCCGGUGAGGCCGUUGGCAUCCCUCCGCCGCUGCUGCCAGUGCGUCGAUGACGUAUCCGGACGGAUCAUGUCCUUGCGUUUGAAUGCUUUCUCGUUCUCUGGCUUUCUUUCUUUCUUGUUAACCCUAGAAACCCUAAUCUAUUGAUUGCCUUGGUUUCGUCGAUGGUGGGUGACUUCUGAUCUUCCUCGCUUGCAGGGAUUGCGUUUCAUCCAAGUUGUUCAGUUUUGUAAGGAAUGGAUCCUGAAGAUAAAGAGUUUUCCAGAGCCUUUGGCUCAAAUGCAUCAUCAAGUGCUAUAAGCACUCCAGAAGAAAAUGGACACAUCCAUGAGAGUGCAAAUGGUGAAGAAAGCCUUCAAGAGUUUUUGAAAACCAAUCCAAGGAAGGAGCUUAGUCAUUCAAGCCUUGAGAAGGAGAGGAAGCUAGCUCAAUCAAAAGGUAAGGUGUCCGAAGAACUCUCCAAGGUAGUAGCAAGUUUCAAAGGAUGCAAGAACUUGGGGAUGAAGAAACAUUUUUCAAGUAAUUCAUCUGCUGCAAAUGGUCAUACCCCUAAAAAACAUCCAAGGAGGGGUGAACACCCUAUUAUGCUUCCACCUGUGGAGGGUUUGUUGGACUUAAAAUAUGACAGGACUUGGAUUUGUAAGAAUUCGGCUUGUAAGGCAAAAUUGACUGCGGAGGACACAUUUUGUAAGAGGUGCUCUUGUUGUAUCUGUCAUCACUUUGAUGACAAUAAGGACCCAAGUCUUUGGUUGGUCUGUUCAUCAGAAACAGAUGACCAGGAUUGGUGUGGUUUGUCUUGCCACAUUGAAUGUGCUUUCCAACGUCAAAAAGUUGGAGUUAUUGAUCUUGGGCAAUCAAUACAGCUUGAUGGAAGCUACUGCUGUGCUUCUUGUGGAAAAGUUUCUGGAAUAUUAGGAUAUUGGAAGAAGCAACUAUUAAUAGCUAAAGAUGCUCGGCGGGUGGAUGUUCUCUGCUACCGCAUAUUUUUAAGCUACAGGCUAUUAGAGGGCACUUCCCAGUUCAGGGAACUGCAUGAAUUUGUUGAAGAUGCGAAGGCAAAACUUGAAACAGAAGUUGGACCAGUCAAUGGAGUUUCAGCAAAGAUGGCUCGAGGAAUUGUGAGCAGGCUCUCAGUUGCUGUCGAAGUGCAGAGGCUUUGCUCUCUUGCAAUUGAAAAGGCGGAUGAGUGGCUCUGCUCUACCUCUCAUUCACACCUAAAGCUCAGAGAUUCACUUCCUGCAGCUUGCAAGUUCCAGUUUGAAGAAGUAACAUCUUCUUCUCUAGUUAUUGUUUUGAAAGAGACCUCUUCUGCUUCUGACUCUAUAAAAGGUUACAAACUUUGGUACUGCAAUAGCAGAGAGCUACCAUACUCAAAUGAUCCUGUUGUCUUCCCAAGAGUUCAAAGACGGAUUCUGAUUUCUAACCUCCAACCAUGCACAGAGUAUGCCUUUCGGAUUAUUUCAUUUACAGAUGACGGAGACCUUGGUCACUCUGAAGCAAAAUGUUUUACCAAGAGUGUGGAGAUAAUCCAGAAGAAUACUGAGCAGAAUGGUGCCGAAGGAUGCUCAUCUAGUGCAAAGAGAGGAACCAAAGCUCCAACAAAUGGGUCUUCCGGCUUUAAAGUUCGAAAUCUUGGGAAAAUUUUGCGUCAAGCAUGGGCUCAAGACGAAGGUUGCUGUGAUUGGCUCUCCAAUGAUGAUGUAGAAGAAGACUCAGAUGGUGGAAGUGAUGCAAUGAGACCUGAUGGUGCUGAAGAGGACCAUGCUGAGCCAACUGUAUCACGUCGGCUUGACUUGAAUGUGGUAUCGGUUCCUGAUCUUAAUGUUGAUGCGACUCCACCACCUGAGAGCUCUCCUGAAGUAGAGAAUGUAUGCAGUUCAGAGAAGAACGGACAGGCUCGAUCCAAUGGUAGUGGUGAUUCCCAGACUUGUGCGGCUAGACUAGUUGAAGAGGUACCAGCAGUGGAGUCUCGACCAGAGUCACGGAAACGAGGAGCAAGCACGCAAGAUGAAACUUAUGAUGGUGGUAGCACAUUGGUUGUUGGUUCACCUCUUAGAUUUUCAAAAGGCCAUGGCCAGUUGGAUGACAACUAUGAGUACUGUGUGAAGGUCAUAAGAUGGCUAGAAUGCCAAGGGCACAUCGAGAAGGAUUUCCGAAUGAAGUUCUUAACCUGGUUUAGCAUGAGAUCCUCUGCGCAAGAGCGUCGGGUAGUGAUUACCUUUAUCAGAACCCUGAUCGAAGAACCCAGUAGCCUCGCCGGACAGCUACUAGAUUCUUUUCUGGAGAUUGUGACAUGCAAGAUGCCGCGGAUUGGUUUCUGUAGUAAGUUAUGGCAUUGACAUGAGUUGUAGCAGCCAAGAUGGUGGGUUUCUGCUUAUUGUUUUGGGAGUAGGUGGAUAGGUGGAUGCUGCGCUGCAGUGGGUGUUUUUUUUUUUUUAAUUUAUUUUUCAGCUAGUUUUUUCAACUCCAUCAAAGUAUUAAAUUAUUUUUCGGAGAAUUAUUGGAAAUUUUAGUUGGUGUGUUGCAUGGGAUAGAUCACGGAGAUGCUUUUAUACCCCAUAUUGCCUCCCUUGUAAUCAUCCUUUAUGGUGGUGGCUAAAUUAUGGAAAGAUUAAUAUUUAUAUAUAUUGCUGUUUGAUUCUUUAUUAUACU